CAGCCGCCGCGGGAAUACGAAGGGGGCUAGCGUUGUUCGGAAUUACUGGGCGUAAAGCGCACGCAGGCGGCUCGAUAAAUUAGAAGUGAAAGCCUUGGGCUUAACCUGAGAAUUGCUUUUAAGACUGUCGAGCUAGAAUCCAGAAGAGGGUAGUGGAAUACCGAGUGUAGAGGUGAAAUUCGUAGAUAUUGGGAAGAACACCGGUGGCGAAGGCGGCGACCUGGUCCUUGACUGACGCUGAGGCGCGAAAGCGUGGGGAGCAAACAGGAUUAGAUACCCGCGUAGUCCCUGUCUCUUAUAC
rnacentral:rRNA from 1 species